UACGUAAGGUGCAAGCGUUGUCCGGAAUUAUUUGGGCGUAAAGAGCUCGUAGGCGGUUCGUCACGUCGGCUGUGAAAUCCCGAGGCUCAACCUCGGGUCUGCAGUCGAUACGGGCGGACUUGAGUACUGCAGGGGAGACUGGAAUUCCUGGUGUAGCGGUGAAAUGCGCAGAUAUCAGGAGGAACACCGGUGGCGAAGGCGGGUCUCUGGGCAGUAACUGACGCUGAGGAGCGAAAGCGUGGGGAGCGAACAGG
rnacentral:rRNA from 1 species